GCAGAUGAGUUUGGGGGCGUGUCCUGGUGUUGCCAUGGAGAUGAGUUGCAGGUGUUCUUACAUCCUGUUUCCUCCUCCUCCUCCUCCUCCUCCUCUUCCUCCUCUUAGAGAGCUGACCUUCACAGUGUCGCCCUCUGCUGGUCCAGAUGUGACCUUUAACUAUCUCCCAGUAUUGAUGCUCUUCCUCACCCCAACAUUAUUUAUUGUAUUAUUGAUCCUCUCUGCUGUGUGUUAUAAAGCCAUGAAGAGGACCAUCUGAGGAAAGAAGACAAAGACAGGAUGGAGCAACAACUCUCUGAUUAACAGAGUGAAAUGAGAGUCAAACCAUCGGCUGCAGAAGAGAACAUACAAUAAAAAUGACAAUUUAAAGCGUUCCUGAUGAAAGACAAAAAGACAUCUGUCCAAGAUAAGCAAAGAUUUACAUCCAGUGCUCGGGCAGAACCCCACAUGACCUCUAUAGGACCUCCAUGUUUUUCAGCUGUGUCAUCGUGUUCGUUGUUUGAUGUGAAUUAAAUGAUGU